rnacentral:tRNA from 1 species
AGCAGGUGGCAUAGUGGUUAGAGCUGUCACCUUGCAACUGAAAGACAAGGGUUUGAAUCCCAAGUCUGCUG